GCCCUUUAUCAGGUAUGGGGUCUAUGGGAAAAACUUGAAGUGUACCAUACCUGGCUUCGUCAGCAACCAGGUGGACACGGAUAUGAGACAACUUCUCUUAUCCCUAGAUCAUUUCUGGCACCUUUCUUGCACUUGUCUCCAUUCCUAUCCCGUUUCUUCUUCUCUAUGCCCCCUAGAACUCCGUGAGUCAGCCCAGAGGCUGAGCCAGGGAGAGAGAAAGGAGACCCUUUUUCAGUGAGCCUUCGGAAGUAUUUGGGAAAUAACACCCUCCCAGCCCCCGUACCCUGAGGUUCAGAAGAGAAAUCCUUCUGCUUCUCUCCCUCCUAAGGAACUUGGGCGAGAGAAAUCACUCAUCAAAACACGUGGACCAGAGGUACUUAACCUAUUCUGUAGAACUUGACAACCAGGUGGAGGAUUUUUUUUUUUUUUAACACUAAGCAAUCUCCCUGGACCUCCUCGGGUCCAAACGCAGGGAAGAAAGCAAAGGGGACUCAUAGAACUGUAGAGCAAGAAAGGCUCACCUCGUUUUACAGAGGAACAAUCAUAUUCCCCAAGACGGGGAUUCAAACCCAGACCCUGUCUCUAAAACCAGGGUUCAUUCUACUACCUCCCAAAUGCCCUCAGCCACUUGUAACUCCUGCACCACGUCUCGCGUUGGCAGGCGAGGUGAGAGGGGUGUCUGUGGGGCUUCUGGCGUUAUUUUUUUCCUUCCCAGGAGGUCCCCCCCCACCCCUUUGAAGCUCCGCAUUGCUGCGGCCAUCUAUCCACCUGUUGGGGUUUGGCCGGAGCUGCAGAGCCAAGAGCAAGCGGAGCCCCGGAGACCCCAGGAAGGCGCCCAGACUCCCUCCCCGCCUUCCGGGCGGAGCUCGAGCUGGAGUGUAGCCGCCUUCCCUGCCUCCAGCCUUCCCCGCCCUCCUCCGCUUCCUCCCCCGGGCAGCUGCUUAGGUCUGCGCUGCCCGCCUGUACCACCCAGCUCUGCCGGGAGGAGAGGAGGGAGGAGGACGCGGAGGAGAGCGGGAGAGCUAGGAGGAGGAAGGAGAGGGCCAAAGCCGGGAGGUGGUGGUGGUGGAGGAGGAGGGGAAGGGCUGGCAGCAGGAGGGGGUGCAAGGGCAGCGCCUGGCGCUCUGCGCGCCCACCCCGGGGGAGCCCUUGGCUCUGACACCGAAACAACCUCGGAGCUCACUCCUUCUUUACCACCCUUGCUGCCUGGAGUCUCCGUCAGACUCAUGUCACACAAGCCGGUUGGCGGCCCCCCAGGCGAGGAGGAAGUUGACUGGUGCUUGUAUCAGCUCAAUGGGACAGCGGAGUUUGAAGUCUCCGAAGAUUCUUGUCUAACCAUACAUCACCUCCUCUCUUAUAUUCUGGCAGUGGAAAGUCUGAAGUCAAAUGUAGGUCUUUAUUUUUAUUCCUAUUAA
ensembl:lncRNA